UCAGUGCACAACAGCCAGCUGCUUCAUCCUUGACUAAACACUAAACGCAAACGUGGCUGAGGUGUCAUGUUACAAUAUGGCCCCAGGCCUCACCUGCAGAAAUUAAUAUCAACUAAAUAAAACCCAACCCAACAAGGACAUCAGCUAAUUUCCCAAAUUCCUACUUUUAACAUACUGCUGUGUCUGGACCAGUUUUUCAGUGAUUACGCUGCAGAAAACCUGACCAUGAUUGAGCACCUGAAUAUCUCCUCGGCCAUUUGAAAGUGGUCUUGGUGAAAAGCCAGCAGGCCAAGAAGAUUGCGGACGGCAUACUGCAAGUAUCCAGCUUCAGCCUCCAGCUCCCCCCUGAGACUCUCCUGUUUCAGAUCUCUGCCUGUGUCCGAUGUAGUCAGUUGAAGAAUGUGAGCCGAUGAUGCAACAAGUUGGAAUGUAGGACUUAUUUGUCGUAUGAGAUGGCAACAAAAGUACAAGAAUGUAUGACAACAAUGUGCUUUCUUAAAAUUAAAACAUAUCUGACUAUA